AAGAAUUUGUAUCAGAAGAGCAGUUAACUGCUAAUGAUCUUGUUAAUGAUACGGAAUCCCAGGAAGACAGGGCACACAAAUCAUUACAAACAGGAAAUUUGGACCGAGGUGACGACUUAUCUGAGACUUCCAGAGUGGAAUCUAUUUCUGGAACAGACAUCUCUCCUGAUGACAUUGUAGGAAUAAUUGGCUUAAAGCGUUUCUGGAAAGCCAGAAGAGCAAUUGUCAA
rnacentral:misc_RNA from 1 species